rnacentral:rRNA from 1 species
AAAUGACUCUCGGCAAUGGAUAUCACAACUCUCACGUGGAUGAAGAACGUAGCGAAAUGCGAUACUUGGUGUGAAUUGCAGAAUCCCGUGAACCAUCGAGUCUUUGAACGCAAGUUGCACCCGAAGCCAUUAGGCCGAGGGCACGUCUGCCUAGGCUUCACAU